rnacentral:rRNA from 1 species
CAGUCGCCGCGGUAAUACGAGGGGGGCAAGCGUUGUUCGGAAUUAUUGGGCGUAAAGGGUGCGUAGGCGGUUUGGCAAGUUUGGUGUGAAAUCUUCGGGCUCAACUCGAAGUCUGCAUCGAAAACUGCCGGGCUUGAGUAUGGGAGAGGUGAGUGGAAUUUCCGGUGUAGCGGUGAAAUGCGUAGAUAUCGGAAGGAACACCUGUGGCGAAAGCGGCUCACUGGACCAUAACUGACGCUGAGGCACGAAAGCUAGGGGAGCAAACAGGAUUAGAUACCCGCGUAGUCCCUGUCUCUUAUAC